rnacentral:miRNA from 1 species
GGCUUGAACUAAUGGUGAUCUCUAGUUAUAAUCACUUCUAGAGACACCUUUAGUUCUCACCAA